rnacentral:rRNA from 1 species
UACAGAGACUGCAAGCGUUAUUCGGAUUCACUGGGCGUAAAGGGUGCGCAGGCGGCCAAGUGUGUGAGGCGUGAAAGCCCGGGGCUUAACCCCGGAAUUGCACCUCAAACUACAUGGCUAGAGCAUUGGAGAGGGUAGCAGAAUUCAUGGUGUAGCAGUGAAAUGCGUAGAUAUCAUAAGGAAUACCAGAGGCGAAGGCGGCUACCUGGACAAUUGCUGACGCUCAGGCACGAAAGCGUGGGGAGCAAAAGGG